GACGAACGCUGGCGGCGUGCUUAACACAUGCAAGUCGAACGGAAAGGCCCUGCUUUUGUGGGGUGCUCGAGUGGCGAACGGGUGAGUAACACGUGAGUAACCUGCCCUUGACUUUGGGAUAACUUCAGGAAACUGGGGCUAAUACCGGAUAGUAGCUCCUGCUGCAUGGUGGGGGUUGGAAAGUGUCGGCGGUUGGGGAUGGACUCGCGGCUUAUCAGCUUGUUGGUGGGGUAGUGGCUUACCAAGGCUUUGACGGGUAGCCGGCCUGAGAGGGUGACCGGCCACAUUGGGACUGAGAUACGGCCCAGACUCCUACGGGAGGCAGCAGUGGGGAAUAUUGCACAAUGGGCGGAAGCCUGAUGCAGCAACGCCGCGUGCGGGAUGACGGCCUUCGGGUUGUAAACCGCUUUCGCCUGUGACGAAGCGUGAGUGACGGUAAUGGGUAAAGAAGCACCGGCUAACUACGUG
rnacentral:rRNA from 1 species